rnacentral:rRNA from 1 species
GUCUCCGUAGGUGACCUGCGGAGGGAUCAUU